UUUGGUACAUGGUCUAUGGACAAGCCUUGGUGACCCAUAGACAAGUCUUGCUGGAUAGCCUCUGGACAAGUCUUGGUAGGUGACCUGUGGACAAGCCUUGGAAGGUGGCCUAUGGACAAACCUUGGAAAGUAGUCUAUGGAAAAGCCUUGGUAGGUGGCCUGUGGAAAAGCCUUGGAAGGUGGACAAGCUUUUGUAUGCAGCUGGUGGACAAGCCUUGGUACGUGGUGACCUGUGGACAAGCCUUGGAAGGCGGCCUGUGGACAAACCUUGAAAGGUGGCCUGUGCACAAGCCUUGAUGUGUGGUCUGUGAACAAGCCUUGGAAGGUGGCCUGUGGACAAGUCUUGGUAGGUGGCCUGUGGAAAAGCCUUGGAAGGUAGCCUGUGGACAAGCUUUGGUAUGCAGCUGGCGGACAAGCCUUGGUAUGUGAUCUGUGGAUCUGCCUGAUGAAACCAUCAGAAAUGGACAAUAGAAGCCCUCUAUUGGAGUUGAAGAGCACAAAACUCAACAACAUAAACCCAUCUUGGUAGGGGAAUCCUGGCAAUGGAUGACAAGGACAAGAUUGGAGAUGAUUUAUAAUUCCUAGCGAUGGCACUUAAGCUUAUUUAGUUGGCCCAGCCCAGGAGGCCUUUGAAUGUGAGGUACAGCUGGCCUGGGGUUUUCCUCCUAGGGGCAAGUGGACGUACAGGGAGGUUUUUCACCCAGCUGUUGUUCCACAACCUCCAUUCUUAAACUCUUAAACUAGUUAGUUACUCUUUAGCUCUUACCUUUUUCUAAUGAUAAUUUUUUUUAAGUGUGUGCGUGCCACAGUUGUUCAAAUAUGUGCUUUGUUAUAAUUGAUUAUUUCCCUUUGCUCUAGAAUUGGAAAUUGUUUUCCUUGGUCAGGUCCAAGGCUUUUGGGUUAUGGUUUUGAAUCUCAGGGUUUUUGGUUUUAGAUCUUAAGGUCUAUGGGUUUUUGGGUCCUUGGUUCUUUUUCCUUUUUUUUAGGGGGGAGGUAUGGGGAUGUGCAUCUUAGAUGGCCUCGAAGAUUUUGCAUCUAUAGGUGUUUGGGGGGUCUUAGGUCAUUUGAUCUGCAGCUUUUUGGUCCAAGGGUUUUUGAAUCCAAGGUUCUUUUUGGUUGAAGGUAUUCUGAGUUUCAGAUUUAUGGGUCCUAGGUUAUUUGGAUUUUGGGUCUAUGAUUUUUAAGCUCUAAGGUUUCUGGGUCUUAAUUUUUU